rnacentral:rRNA from 1 species
GACGAACGCCGUCGGCGUGCUUAAUACACGCAAGUCAACGAGAACCAGGGUGCUUGCAUCCUGGGGAAAGUGGCGCACGGGUGCGUAACACGUAGGUAAUCUGCCCUUAGGACUGACAUAACUCCGGGAAACCGAAGCUAAUAUCAGAUAAUGCAGCGGCUCGGCAUCGAGACAGUUGUUAAAUCUUCGGAGCCUAAGGAUGAACCUGCGUCCCAUUAGGUUGUUGGUGAGGUAAAUGCACACCAAGCCUGCGAUGGGUAGCUGGUCUGAGAGGAUGAUCAGCCACACUGGAACUGAGACACGGUCCAGACUCCUACGGGAGGCAGCAGUAAGGAAUAUUGCUCAAUGGGAGAAAUCCUGAAGCAGCAACGCCGCGUGGAGGAUGAAGGCAUAUUUGUUGUAAACUCCUGUAAGAAGGGAAAAAUUGUCCCGAUUUAUCGGGAUUUGAUUGUACCUUCAGAGUAAGCCCCGGCUAACUACGUGCCAGCA